rnacentral:rRNA from 1 species
UACGUAGGGUGCGAGCGUUACUCGGAAUUACUGGGCGUAAAGCGUGCGCAGGCGGUGAUGUAAGACCGAUGUGAAAUCCCCGGGCUCAACCUGGGAACUGCAUUUGUGACUGCAUCGCUGGAGUGCGGCAGAGGGGGAUGGAAUUCCGCGUGUAGCAGUGAAGUGCGUAGAUAUGCGGAGGAACACCGAUGGCGAAGGCAAUCCCCUGGGCCUGCACUGACGCUCAUGCACGAAAGCGUGGGGAGCAAACAGG